rnacentral:sRNA from 1 species
UUUUAGCCCUGAUCGAAGCGGCAUCCUUUACAGUUAGUGUUUCUUACGAGGACUAUUAAAGAUACAGCGGAUAGCAGGAUGAGCU